rnacentral:lncRNA from 10 species
CCUUUUCUAACCUAACCUCUGAAGUCAUGCCAUGUCACUUCUGCUGAGUUCCAUUAAUUAAAAAUGAGUCACUGAGGGCCAGGCACAGUGGCUCAUGCCUGUAAUCUCAGUAUUUUGGGAGGCCGAGGUGGGCAGAUCACUUAAAGUCAGUCAUGUAAAUAACAUAUCUCUAAUAGAAAAGAUAAAACGCAGGUAAAAGUAGUAACAGUAUAGUUUUGUACGUGAUUGAAUUUAUCAGCUUAAAUAACCUGUCAUAACUAUAAUAAGUUUUAUGUAGACUUUAAGGUAAGCAGAAAGCAAAAAUGUAUAGGAGAUCUAAAAAAAAUACAAAGAGGAAGGAAUCAAAGCAUACAACUACAGAAAAUAGAUAUGAGAUGUUGAAGUCCUUAAACAGGUUGGUGGAUUUGUCUAUUUGUCUAUUUGUCCUUUCAACUCUUAGUUUUUGUUUAGUGUAUUUUGAGGCUCUGUUGUGUGCUUGUAUGUAUGCACACAUUUUUAAUAAUUUAUUUCUAUUUUUUUACUGUUACAUAAUCUCUCUUUUUUUCUAUAGGGAUAUUCUUUGUUUUGAAUUUACUUUAUUCUGACAUUAAUAUGUCACUUUUUCAUUUUUAAUUAUUGUUUAUAUAAUCAGUUCUUU